rnacentral:rRNA from 1 species
GACGAACGCUGGCGGCGUGCUUAACACAUGCAAGUCGAACGGAAAGGCCCUGCUUUUGUGGGGUGCUCGAGUGGCGAACGGGUGAGUAACACGUGAGUAACCUGCCCUUGACUUUGGGAUAACUUCAGGAGACUGGGGCUAAUACCGGAUAGGAGCUCCUGCUGCAUGGUGGGGGUUGGAAAGUUUCGGCGGUUGGGGAUGGACUCGCGGCUUAUCAGCUUGUUGGUGGGGUAGUGGCUUACCAAGGCUUUGACGGGUAGCCGGCCUGAGAGGGUGACCGGCCACAUUGGGACUGAGAUACGGCCCAGACUCCUACGGGAGGCAGCAGUGGGGAAUAUUGCACAAUGGGCGGAAGCCUGAUGCAGCAACGCCGCGUGCGGGAUGACGGCCUUCGGGUUGUAAACCGCUUCCGCCUGUGACGAAGCGUGAGUGACGGUAAUGGGUAAAGAAGCACCGGCUAACUACGUG